rnacentral:rRNA from 1 species
GAUGAACACUGGCGGCGUGCCUAAUACAUGCAAGUCGAGCGAACAGACGAGGAGCUUGCUCCUCUGACGUUAGCGGCGGACGGGUGAGUAACACGUGGAUAACCUACCUAUAAGACUGGGAUAACUUCGGGAAACCGGAGCUAAUACCGGAUAAUAUAUUGAACCGCAUGGUUCAAUAGUGAAAGACGGUUUUGCUGUCACUUAUAGAUGGAUCCGCGCCGCAUCAGCUAGUUGGUAAGGUAACGGCUUACCAAGGCAACGAUGCGUAGCCGACCUGAGAGGGUGAUCGGCCACACUGGAACUGAGACACGGUCCAGACUCCUACGGGAGGCAGCAGUAGGGAAUCUUCCGCAAUGGGCGAAAGCCUGACGGAGCAACGCCGCGUGAGUGAUGAAGGUCUUCGGAUCGUAAAACUCUGUUAUUAGGGAAGAACAAAUGUGUAAGUAACUAUGCACGUCUUGACGGUACCUAAUCAGAAAGCCACGGCUAACUACGUG